UGGGGAAUAUUGCACAAUGGGGGAAACCCUGAUGCAGCGACGCCGCGUGAAUGAAGAAGGUAUUCGUAUCGUAAAGUUCUGUCCUAUGGGAAGAUAAUGACAGUACCAUAGAAGAAAGCUCCGGCUAAAUACGUGCCAGCAGCCGCGGUAAUACGUAUGGAGCGAGCGUUGUCCGGAAUUAUUGGGCGUAAAGGGUACGCAGGCGGUUUAAUAAGUCGAAUGUUAAAGAUCGGGGCUCAACCCCGUAAAGCAUUGGAAACUGAUAAACUUGAGUAGUGGAGAGGAAAGUGGAAUUCCUAGUGUAGUGUUGAAAUACGUAGAUAUUAGGAGGAAUACCAGUAGCGAAGGCGACUUUCUGGACACAAACUGACGCUGAGGUACGAAAGCGUGGGGAGCAAACAG
rnacentral:rRNA from 1 species